AGGGAUGGUGGAGCAGGGAUGGUGGAGUAGGGGGAGCGAGUGCCCCCUCACCAUGCUGGGUUCCUGUUUCAGCUGCUGUGCCAUGCUGCUGCCUGGCCUGAGGUGCUGCAGCUUUUGAAUGAAACCUUCAGAGCCUGUGAGAGAUUCCAGGGAUCUCCUCCGGUGCUGCUGGUGCUGCUCCUCCGCCCUUCUCCAGGAGUGUUCGCUGGUUCCGGAGCGAACAUCGCCCGGAAACUUCCCGGCCCCUGGCACUAGAUGGAGCUUCAAUCUACUUGCACUUGCAGGUCUGGUGAAUUCAACGAGAUGAAAAUAGAGAAUACGUGAAGAUAUGUGUGCCUGCUGCUACACUUACAGCACCUCUCUUCCUGUUUUUUAGCAGAGUGGGAUGAAAGUGUCCAACAAGUGCCUUCUCAGUCCUGUACAAGCUGCUGCAGAAUCUGUCUAAGCACUGCUGCUGUUUAUGAGAACACAGGUGUAGGAGUGGAAAAGUGCAGUCCUUGGACACAUGCAACAUGACUUUGAGAGAAAAAAUGCUAUCAGAUUCACAAGGAAAACAGGAAAUUGAGAGUAAGGAAAUCUCACCAGGAGGAACACCCACAUGCAGUGGGAUGAGUGGCCUCCAUCUGCCACAUAACAUACACCCAAAACUGGUGCUGUUUCACCCCAAGACUUCUGCAAGCAGCCUGUCAUGCGAGCUUGGCCCCACACUUUUCAGUGGAUCAGGGUUAUGAACCUUUCUGCAGCAGGAUUUGAAGCAGUCAGAUGCCAGCUUAGAUCAAAGUCUCUAGGAUUCACUUGUGAUUUCUGCUGUAUCAUACAUCUGUGCUCUUGCUGCUGGCUCCUGGAGCACGUUCCAAGCUUUGGGCUCCCCGUCCCUGCCUGGGUUCUGCUCUGCAGGCAGCUGCUGGACUGGAGGGAUACUGAGCAAGUCUGCAGAUGAUACAAAACUGAGAGGAGUUGACUCUCUCAGAGGCAGGGAGGCCCUGCAGAGAGACCUCAACAAAUGAGAGGACCAGGCAAUCACCAAACCUGUGAGGUUCAACAAGGAACCCUUCACUUCCAAUCGAGUUCCCUGAUUGGGACAUUGUGCAGGUCUGUGGCUGGGGACAGUCCCCAUCACAUCAUCUGAGGCUGGAGAAAUCAGCAGGGGAACAAAGUGACUUGUACACACACAGAAUUGGAAGCAGAAUCUGAAAUGAGCCCUGAUUUCCAGUGUGUUUUUCUGACAGGAUGGGGUUCAUGCUCCAAAGCAUAUUGAAUACAGAGUUCUUGAAGGGCUGCAGGAGCAGGGUGAGGACAGUGCACAGUUCUGCAGUUUCUUGCUUCAUCUGCCAGGGCUCUGUGUCUGAACCUCCUGCACUUGUACAGCCAAAGAGUGUUUAUUCUGUAUGUACCAUACACAGGCAUUUAUACGGGAAUGGAGCCCUGCUCGAGCCAUGGGGAUGCAUGAGGGGUGUGAGCCCUGAAUCCAGGCCUGUGGGCAAGCUCUGCACACGAAUUCAGUUCUCACACUUUCAGUAAAAUCCUACUCCUUGCCUUGCAGGUUGUGGCUGAAUAGUGGACCAGGCUGUGCAAGGUGCUUGUGGCUGCCCGUCCCUGGAGGUGUUCAAGGCCACCUGGGAUAGUGGAAGGUGACCCUGCUGAUGGUGGGGUUGGUGGACAGGAUGGUUUUUAAAGGUCUCUUCCAACACAAAGCAGUCUGUGAUUCUAUACUGAAUACUGAAUAUUUUCCCCUGCCCUUGAUCUUUGCAAUCACCUGAGUUAACCCCACUGUGCUGGGUGAGGUAGUGUUUUAUACAGCUGGUACUGCCCAGUUUGAAUAACUCCUGAAGGAUAAUGUGUACAGUGUUGUUCUAGAAAAAAACAGAUUUUAGGAUUUUGAAUUCUAGGAAAAGGUGCUAAUUUUUCUUUGCAAGUGAUUGGCUGGUAGUGAGAACCCAUCGUUAUUCAGCGCUUGCAGGGAACAUGAGAAGUGUCUGCAUUCUUAGGCUUCUGCAAAAAGCUUAACUGAGUUCUGCACUGAUGGCAGGAAGAGUUUGAGCUUACAUUAUUUGACUGGGAGAGCUUGUCUCAAGUUAUGUGAACAGAUGUUUCAGAUUUGAGUUCAGCCUGGCAGAAAAGGGAGAUUAAUCUAGUCCCCUGCAUUUCCCAUCUUUAGCUUGGCAAAAAAAAAAUCAGAAGUGAAUUUCCUUUUUUCCUUUUAACUGGAUUUUUCUUUACUGUGAAACCAAAAGGCAAGCUCCUGGAAAGGAGGAGUGAUGCACUUUUAUCCAACCCAGUACUUAAAGGUUUUCACCUGUUUGCUCAGCUGCCUUUUAUUUGUCAGCAUUUUCAUGCGUGGAGCUGCAAUUAUCUCUGAAAAACAUCACAAACAGUGAAACCCCCAAAAACCUCCCCUUCAAAGACAGUCUGCUUUCCACAUCUUGCUGCACGACACAGCCAGGCAGCCCUUUGUGUAGUAGCUCAUGUGCUGCAGCAAGAGGAACUAAAAAAAUACUUCUGACACAGCUGUCAACAAUUAAACUGUGUGAGGCUUUGCUCACUGAGGUUAGGGAGAAACCCAGGGAAAUCUUAAAAAGCUUUCAAGAGAAAGUACUGAAAAUACAUGCCAGGAAUCAAGGAAUAGAUUGCAGAUGACAAAUGCACUUCCCCACAGACUGACAGUGGAGGAUUUGGUUUGACAGUGGCUGUGGAGCUGUGCUGGGUCAGGCUGAACGAGCAGUGGAUGGGGAUAAUUUAGCCAGAUGAGCAUGGCCAGUACUGACUUUUAUGGGAGAAUUCACCCCUGUGUUUGAUGGGCAGAUCCCACAGAUAGCUGGAAGGUGGAGGACCCACCACUCCUGCACUGCUGUGCAGUUUUAAUACCAAGCCUGAGUAGCUGUUUUGAGGCAGAGGAUGGUGUUGUCAGCCCCAGGCAGGGACAGGGCAGCAAAAUGAUCUGUAGGGGCUGGAGAGCAGCAGGUGGUGACAGUGGGAUGACAUGCUGUAAGUGCCAGUCCUUGGCAAACCCCCGCCGGCCUGGAGACCAGGUCUGUCAUGAGCAGAGGAUAAAGAGAUGAAAAGUGAGAGGAGCCCUUGCACAGCCACCCUGAGAGCCAAGGGAGGCUGUGCUGCCACGCACUGUGAGCACCUCCUCUCUUGGGCAGAAUGAGCUCCCAGGUUUGGGUUCAGCAGUGCUCCUGGUGCCUGAGCUGCUGGCUAAAGCAUCUCAGAGGCCAUGAAAUCUUUGGGGCUGGAGGAAGCAGAGCUGAGCACCUGUAUGUUCUCCUUGGAGCCUCCUGUCCCCAGGCUCAGCACAGCCUGCCCUUGGCUGGGAGCUCUCGUGGCAGCACAGGAGGAGUUGGAUUUUUGUGGUUCCUUGUUCAGAGUCAGGCUGUGGGCACAGUGCAGACCCUGGAAGUUUGUUGCUGCUGGGAUUCCCAGAGAUUUCAGUCCUGUGCCAUGUGGGAAAUAGCUCACCCUUUCUUUGGUCACCACUUUUUCCCACAGUGUCUGCUGAAUUCUGCCAAAUUAAUAAUUUAUUCAACUGUCACAUGCAGCCCAUGGUGAUGCAUCCCAUUCACAGCAGCAGGUCUGAGUGAGGCUGGGGGUUCCCCAGCUCCCAAGAGAAGACUGGAAUUGCCCCAGGUGCCCAGGGAGGUGGGAGUUGGGGAUCUGCAGGGCGCAGUGAGCGGUCUGAAGUUGCAUCUAAAAUAGCUGAGCCGUGACAUUUUCUCUUGACAGAAGUGGUGAAAGGCCACAGACGCUUCCUUUCUGUGACUCAGAAACUUGCAAAUCUUUGAUUCGCACCUUAUAAGUAAAAUUAGCCUGUGCCUCACUGCUGCCAAACUCCUUCAAAGCAAAGAUUCUUGUACAAAGGAAUUCAGCAACAGAAAUACAAUUCACUUGUGGAUCAGAUUACUGUUAUUUCUGACUAGAAGCAGUACCAGAAAUGCUUGCAGGGAUUUCCACUUUGCCUUUGAAAAGAUGUGCAUAUUGUUGGUAGAAAAAUAGCUGUUUGGAAGGAUAAUUCACAUGGAUUUGGGCACAGGGAGCCCCAUGAAGCUGCUGCUGUGAUGAGUACAGGAGUCAGUCACUUUGAAACAGGGAUCUUCAGCUGCUGUUCUGGGAAAUGUUGGGAUGUGAGCUGCAAUUACUGCUGCUCAGGAGGACAUUUCCAGCCCUGGCUCUGAGCUUUCACCUAGCACAUGGAUCUUUAUGUUGCUUAUGCCUUGGUAUCCCAGAGAGCUGUGGGACUUAUUCCUGCAUGUUGGGAUUCUUCAGGUGAACUUUAGUGAAGGGAAGGAUUUUGUUGAUUCUUGAGGCAGUAAUUGUUUGUGAUGCUGAUGACUGUGAUGUUACUUUGAAAUACGAGCUUACCAUCAGCUGGGAGCAUCAGUCAAGAAAAGAUCUGGCACUUACAAUCCAUGGUGUUCCCAGUCUGUGUUUUGCAGCCAGCUGUAAGUGAAGCCUCAGCUCCUGUGGUGAUGCUCCUGGGGACAGAGCCCGAUGGCAUCUGCAGAGUGGGGCGUGGAUGGAUGUCCCUGCAGCCAGAGAGGCCCCAGACCUGCACCCAUCCAGCAGAACACCCCCAAAUGCCAGCACGGAGCAGAGUCCAGCAGGGAGGGUGAACUGCCUGGGACAGCCAAGGACAGCCUGAGCUGAGGACUUGGGGUGAAACUUGUAAUGAGACAGAAACUUGUCUGCUCAUAAUCUGUGGGGGGGGUCAGCAAACGUAUAGGACAGGUACACUGACCCUUCUGACUGACAACACAUCCCAAGGAGUCUCUCUGUAGCCCUGGGAGCAUGGCAUGGUGUGGGUGAGUGCUGCAGAGCAGCCACUGCUCCUGGGAUCACAUGAACUCUGCGCUGGGGGAGGAAGGACCUGGGCUUUUGAUUUCUGAAGGAUAUUGCUCUGAUAAAUAAAGAAAAGAUUUAAUUACUGCAGGAAAGUGUGGGGAUUUGCUCUUUGGCAUUCUGGAUGAGAACUCCUGGUCCUGAAGGUCUGUACAGUUACUGAGGAAGCAAUGGGCACAUGCCCAGGACUCACCCAGGUCCCAGCUGUGGCAGUGCCUGUGUCCCACCCGUGGCAGUGUCCCACGUGCCUGUGUCCCCUCUGCAGCUGUGCCCAUGUCCCACCCACAGUGCUGGUGCCUCAGCUGGAAGUGAAGCCCUGCUGCUUCCUGGGGCUGGGAGCAUUAAUUAAUGAGAAGAGCUGUGACAAAGUGCUUUGAGACCUGCUGAGUUCAGACAUCUCCUCCAUCCAUGGUGUGUGGGUGGGAUUGCAGCCUCUGUGCAGGGACCUUGGGUGCCUGGGCAGCCCUCCCUGCCCUAGACAGUCCCAGACCUGCUGGAUGUUGGCACAUGGAGCUCUGGGUGAGUCUUGCCCUGUGCAGGCUGGCAGGGAGGUUCUGCCAGAGCCACAGGAGCUGUGAGAGCAGUCCUGACCUCAGCUCUUUGCUGGCUUCGUCCUCCCACAGCCCCUGGUCCCAGGCAGGUGGGUGGGGAGCCCAGUCCAGGCUCCACCAGCCCCUCUGCAGCUGCUUUGGGAGUCAUCUUAAACUUGCUUUGAGGGGUCUGAAAAAUUGCUGAACUUUCAAACUAAGUUCUUGUGAUUGAGUAUUUAUUAUUGAACUCAGCAUGAAAUGUAAAACAAAGCCCAAAACCAGGGAUGCUUUUGAUUUUAGUGUAGAUGCUGACAGCAAUUUUAAUUUAUACAUAUUUUAGUAGUGAAUGCUUAAAAUUAUUCUGGUGUUUUGUG